UUUCAUAGUUGCAAAGAUAUCACAUUUGACUUGUGUUGAGUGCAGAAUGCAAUCAUUGAUGAGCGUGGUUCAUUUUCUGUGACCAGCCCCUUUCCAGGCCCACUAGGGGUCUUACUGAAAUCAAUCAAAAAGUUACCAGCACGGGUUGCUUUAUCUGGGGAUGUUCUUCCUCUUAAAGAAGAUAAGGCUAAGUCUCUUGCAGAAAA